AACCACAAACGGUGUUCAGCGCGCGAAGUUAACAAGCGGUAGGGAUCACUAAUUUCCUUAGUAACCAGGUCGUUAAUCAUGACACCAAGGUAUGCCUCAUUGCGCUGUAACACAAAUUCGGGUUUACGCUGUAGCUUUAAAGCGGCGUUAAUCCCAGCGAUUAAGCCCUGGCCAGCUGCUUCCUCAUACCCACUGGUACCAUUAAUCUGUCCGGCAAAAUACAGAUUUUGAAUUAACUUAGUUUCUAGUGUUGAUUUGAGUUGUAUCGAACUAAAGGCAUCAUAUUCAAUGGCAUAGCCAUACUUUUGAAACCGGGCAUUUUUAAACCCAGGGAGUAAACGGACAAUGUGCUCUUGCACCUCUGGGGGAAAGGAAGUGGAAAACCCUGCUAGGUAAACCGUUUCUAAACUAAGUGAUUCAGGUUCGACAAAGAUUUGGUGCCGUUCUUUGUCUUGAAAGCGAAAUACCUUGUCUUCAAUACUCGGACAGUAAAGUGGUCCGUUUGCUUUAAUACUACCGUUAAAGACAGCGGACUGUUUUAAGUUGGCCAGAAUUAACUGAUGGAUCUGGGGAUUGGUAUGGAUUAAGUGACAGAUCACUUGCUGUUCUAGUGGUAAAUAAUUCUUAGUAGUAAAGCUAAAGGCUAAAUGAGGGGUAGUGUUAGCUUCCACAGCCAUUUGGCUAAAGUCGAGUGAUUCGCGUAGGAUCCGUGGUGGUGUCCCAGUUUUUAGUCGUAACGUUUUAAAACCCCGCUUAAUUAAGUUAGUGGAAAGGUAUUCACUGCGCUUAGCGCGGUCAGGACCUUCUUCUUUGCUUAAGCUACCACAGUAAGUUUUGGCC
rnacentral:sRNA from 1 species